CUGAACAUGCGGCUACAUCAGCCCCACUUGGAACAGCUUUAAAAGGACUCUGCUGCUACCGGGAACGUUUCAUUCGGCAGCCGUGCGACACAGUCUUACGGGUUGAUUUUCCUGCUCUUUGCCGGUGUGCGAUGUGCCGUUCUGUUCCUUAUCCUCCUCACCCACACUGAUGACCGAUGUCCAGGUGUCGCCGAGCACUAGACAGUGGCUUGCUUGCUUGCUUGCUCCCUCCCUCCCUAUAUCAUGGACGCGCACGCGCACACACUGCCUGGUGCCACAAGCCGACCGACCCAAAACACAACGAACUCACCGAGAAUGUGAAGUGCCGCAUGGGCCAAGCCGGCGUGGCCGACAUCACAAGACGAGUUGGCCC